rnacentral:rRNA from 1 species
CCUACGGGUGGCAGCAGUGAGGAAUAUUGGUCAAUGGACGAGAGUCUGAACCAGCCAAGUAGCGUGAAGGAUGACUGCCCUAUGGGUUGUAAACUUCUUUUAUAUGGGAAUAAAAUGUUCCACGUGUGGGAUUUUGUAUGUACCAUAUGAAUAAGGAUCGGCUAACCCCGUGCCAGCAGCCGCGGUAAUACGGAGGAUCCGAGCGUUAUCCGGAUUUAUUGGGUUUAAAGGGAGCGUAGGUGGAUUGUUAAGUCAGUUGUGAAAGUUUGCGGCUCAACCGUAAAAUUGCAGUUGAAACUGGCAGUCUUGAGUACAGUAGAGGUGGGUGGAAUUCGUGGUGUAGCGGUGAAAUGCUUAGAUAUCACGAAGAACUCCGAGUGCGAAGGCAGUUCACUGGACUGCAACUGACACUGAGGCUCGAAAGUGUGGGUAUCAAACAGGAUUAGAUACCCGUGUAGUC